CUCAAUAUUGUUGCACUAGAGGCAACUAUUUAAGAAAAACUAUUUUUAAUAAUUUGCUUUUGGAAGGAAUCAAGUCCCAGAUGCUUUAGCAUCGAGGGAUAUGAUUUUACAAAUUUUCUGGAAUUUAUUUGAGGUCAUUUGGAGUUCAAAAUCAAAAGAUAAAAGGGAAAAAUAGAAAAAGAACAAAAAAAAAGGGAAACCAGACCGGCCCGGCCGAACCGGCCCAAUCGCGCCCGCCCAGCACAGCCCAACACGCGAACCGGCCCCGCAGCAGCCGGCCCCGCCCAGCGCCGCCGCCCGCGCGCCUGCAGUCGCUGAUAGGUGGGACCCACCUGUCAGUCUUCUUCUUCCUCGGUCAGGAAUCUAGCGAGCAUCGUCUUCAUUGCUCGUCUUCAAUCCGCGAUUUAGAGCACACCAUUAAACACCCCUCCCACGCCACUAUAAAGAGCCCCUCACCCUCUCUCAUUUCCCCCGCACCCCUCACUCCACUCGCGCCCACGCCGCCGUAAUUCCUCGCCGG
rnacentral:lncRNA from 1 species